GACGAACGCUGGCGGCGUGCCUAACACAUGCAAGUCGAACGAUGAAGCUUCGUGCUUUUACUAAUUUGAAGAGCAGCGAACGGGGGGGUAACGAGUGGUGAGUCAGCUUCUUAUUGGUGGAGGAUAACGGCAUGCGAAUGCUGAUAAUGCAGAAUAACUUUAAACAGUAGAUUUAAGGUUUAAAGAUGCAUUUUGAUCACUCAAAGAUGAUCCUGCGUUGUAUUAGCUAGUUGGUGAGGUAAAGGCCCACCAAGGCGAUGAUAGAUAGCCGACCUGAAAGGAUGAUCGGCCACAUUGGGACUGAGACACGGCCCAGACUCCUACGGGAGGCAGCAGUAGGGAAUAUUAGGCAAUGGACGCAAGUCUGAUCGAGCAACGCCGCGUGGGUGAAGAAGGUUUUCGGAUGGUAAAGCUCUGUUGGUGGAAAAGAAGGUUGGCGGGCUUGGAAAGCGCAUCACGUACGGGAACCUAAGAAGAAGAGCCGGCCAACUUCGUG
rnacentral:rRNA from 1 species